GAUAAAAUGGCCGAUUAUAAGCAAUAAAUUGUAAAUUUAUUAAUGAAAAAUUUUCUUUUAUCA
rnacentral:tRNA from 1 species